CACAGCAUCAAUGUUCAAGUUGUAUUUGAUGCCAAUUACAAGAUUCUCGAUCUCGUGCCAAAAUGGCCAGGGUCAACACAUGAUGCCCGGGUUCUUUCCCAGAGUGGCCUCACUGGGUUAUUCGAACAAAAUUAUGUUCGCCCUGGAUGUCAUUUGCUGGGUGACUCGGGUUACCCUUUAAAACGCUGGCUUCUCACCCCUUACAGAAGACCACAAGGGGAACAGCAGCUCAAUUAUAACAGGUAUUCUGGACUGAACUGUUGACAAAAUACCAAUUUUGUUCAAUUAGUGCAUUCUUGACUUAUCUGAGCUAUGUUCUUUUAUUGUUUUUGCGCCAUGAAGAGCACACAAAGUAACAAGAGCUGUGGUCGAGAGAGGAAUUGGACAGCUGAAAAGGAGAUUCCAUGUCCUUCAUGGAGAAAUUCGACAGUGCCCUGAGCGGGCUAGUCGCAUUAUUAUGGCUUGUGGCAUUUUGCACAAUAUUUGCAAAGCUCGGAACCUCCCACUGCUUGAUGAUGAUGAUGAUGAUGCCGCCGAUGAAGACGAUAAUGAUGACGAUGACAGUGAUCAGGAUUAUGAUGAGAAUGAUGACAAUACCACUGACUACGCAUUACAAAACAUUUCAGGGAGAGCAUCAAUAAGGGACUGCUUUGCUAACUUACAUUUUGGAGACUCAGUGUCAUCCCCAGGGGCUGGUCCCUGUGCGAACCCUGUGUCUUGUGAGGCAGGCUCAUCUGGAGGACACAGUGAGAUGUCCUGAGAUAAAGGAGAAGGUGUUUCAGAUGGACCAGCUCCAGCAUCAUCCACACUACAUUCACAUGCAGAAAAUAUUAAACAAUGCAAACAUGUUUAUUCAA